UACGUAGGGUGCGAGCGUUAAUCGGAAUUACUGGGCGUAAAGCGUGCGCAGGCGGUGAUGUAAGACAGGUGUGAAAUCCCCAGGCUUAACCUGGGAACUGCAUUUGUGACUGCAUCGCUGGAGUGCGGCAGAGGGGGAUGGAAUUCCGCGUGUAGCAGUGAAAUGCGUAGAUAUGCGGAGGAACACCGAUGGCGAAGGCAAUCCCCUGGGCCUGCACUGACGCUCAUGCACGAAAGCGUGGGGAGCAAACAGG
rnacentral:rRNA from 1 species